GAUGAAGAACGCAGCGAAAUGCGAUAACUAAUGUGAAUUGCAGAAUUCAGUGAAUCAUCGAGUCUUUGAACGCACAUUGCGCCCCCUGGUAUUCCGGGGGGCAUGCCUGUCCGAGCGUCAUUGCUGCCCUCAAGCACGGCUUGUGUGUUGGGCUCCGUCCCCCCGGGGACGGGCCCGAAAGGCAGCGGCGGCACCGAGUCCGGUCCUCGAGCGUAUGGGGCUUUGUCACCCGCUCUGUAGGCCCGGCCGGCGCCAGGCGACAACCCAUCAUCCUUUUCAGGUUGACCUCGGAUCAGGUAGGGAUACCCGCUGAACUUAAGCAUAUCAAUAAGCGGAGGA
rnacentral:misc_RNA from 1 species